rnacentral:rRNA from 1 species
GACUCUCGGCAACGGAUAUCUCGGCUCUCGCAUCGAUGAAGAACGUAGCGAAAUGCGAUACCUGGUGUGAAUUGCAGAAUCCCGCGAACCAUCGAGUCUUUGAACGCAAGUUGCGCCCGAGGCCACUCGGCCGAGGGCGCGCCUGCCUGGGCGUCA